rnacentral:rRNA from 1 species
AUACGUAGGGGGCGAGCGUUGUUCGGAAUGAUUGGGCGUAAAGGGCGCGUAGGCGGCCCGGUAAGUCUGGUGUGAAAGUCCGGUGUUUAAGAUGGGAAUUGCUUUGGAUACUGUCAGGCUUGAGUGCAGGAGAGGUAAGUGGAAUUCCUAGUGUAGAGGUGAAAUGCGUAGAGAUUGGGAGGAACACCAGUGGCGAAGGCGACUUACUGGACUGUAACUGACGCUGAGGCGCGAAAGUGUGGGGAGCAAACAGGAUUAGAUACCCUGGUAGUCCACACUGUAAACGAUGAAUGCUAGGUGUAGGGGGUAUCGACCCCUUCUGUGCCGCAGUCAACACAAUAAGCAUUCCGCCUGGGGAGUACGGCCGCAAGGUUGAAACUCAAAGGAAUUGACGGGG